ensembl:snRNA U2 U2 spliceosomal RNA
UUUGCUUCUCAGCCUUUUGGCUAAGAUCAAAGUGUAGUACCUGUUCCUAUCACUUUAAUAUCUUAUAGUGGGAAUAAACUAACUUAAGAAUCACGUCUGCAACUAUAUCUCUU